UGAGCCGGAAAUUUCUUGCUGGGUGGUGCUAAUGCUUUAAAUUUUAGACCUUUAAAGAGCAUCUAUGUGAAAAUUAAUUAUCAAAAAAUAACUAGCUAGGAGGUCUCAACAUAUAAAAUAUCCAUUGACAAGCUCACACCUGCCUCAGCCACUACUUCGAGAUUAUACCAUAAGAUGAAUGAAGAGCUAAAAGUAGCUGGAUACCUUAAUUUAAGAACGAAAUGUGGCUAAAGAGGCUAUUUUCCAAUCGAGGAGCCAUUGCCUCCCUCCCCCUUCUGCCUCCAAGGUCCACGCGUCGCCGCCAUGUUCUGAUCUAGCUUUUCUCGCGGAAGAUAUAGGAAGCUUGAGAUGCCCAAUUUAUGUAUGACAAUGAAAGCGUGUGUAUCUACUUCUUUCCUUCUGCAUCAAGUUUAGUGCUCUGGCCUGCUAAUUCAGCCCCUAUCUUGGUAGGAGACUUGAGGCGGCAUAACUUGACAUCGAGUUAAUUUGAAAAAUCAUUUUGAGUAACUCGAAUGGUCCAGCAGAGUAUGACAUCCACUCAACAUUUAUUGGUGGUGGUUGUAUGAAAAUGAUGAAGAAAAUAAAUUUAUACAAGAGACGGCUCUGCAGUGGAGAAGGGCAGCUAUCACACAUGGCGAUGGCUGCUGGCAGUGAGCAAAGGGGCGAUAUAGAUCAGCUUCAUUUCCCACCCGUUCAGCUCCACAUGACGCGUUACCGACCAUGUCUGCUGUUGGCAGCACACCAGCAUCUCCCCUUAUGAGCUACCUCUUGUUGGCAAUAGUCACA